CGCAUCUGUGCAUGCAGCAUAUCAAUAGCGGAGGAAAAGAAACUAACAAGGAUUCCCUCAGUAACGGCGAGUGAAGCGGGAAGAGCUCAAAUUUGAAAUCUUCAAGGGUUUACCUUACGAAUUGUAGUUUAAAGAAGUGUUUUCUGCUGAAGUUUUGGUAAAAGUUCUUUGGAAUAGGACAUCACAGAGGGUGAGAAUCCCGUCUAUGAUCCAUAUUUUAGCUUUGUGAUACACUUUCAAAGAGUCGGGUUGUUUGGGAAUGCAGCCCAAAACGGGAGGUAAAUUUCUUCUAAGGCUAAAUAUUGGCGAGAGACCGAUAGCGAACAAGUACCGUGAGGGAAAGAUGAAAAGAACUUUGAAAAGAGAGUUAAACUAGUACGUGAAAUUGUCAAAAGGGAAGCGUUUAACACCAGUGUUGUUUUCUGAAAAUCAACCUCUGUUAGCUUUAUGCAUGUUUGUUUAGACCUAAUCAGCUAUCUUGCAUGUUCUAUUGUUUGCAGUGGUGCACUUUUCAGUUUACAGGUCAACAUUAGUUUUUUUUACCGUAAAAAAGUUAAAGAAAGGUAGCUCAUGGCUCCGGUCGUGAGUGUUAUAGUCUUUUUCCUAUGCGGUAGGAGAGACUGAGGUCUGCAGUGUAGGCUAUUUGGCUAGAUACUCAGGUGCUAUGUGAUACCAUUUCAUAAACAACUUGUUGAUUAUGUUUUGUCUAUUGCAUACUCGCUUGUACUAUCAUACCUACGCUUAGGAUGUUGACGAUCAGCUGAGCGCG
rnacentral:rRNA from 1 species